rnacentral:lncRNA from 1 species
AUGAGCCAGGAAGUGUCCCCCAUGCAUCGCUCUUCAGAGAAGUUUGAGGAGGCCAGUGGUGCCAGGUCAGUGGCGCUUCUCGCUCCCACCGCCUUUGGUGGGAGACUGAUAACCCAGUGCCCUCCUCACCCACUCGGGCCUCUUCGGGGUGUGUGUCCCUUUGUGCUAGUGGUCGCCGCUGCCAGCGGCCAGAUCUCUGACCCCGCCUCCCCGUGUCCUGCCCGUCCAUCCGCGGCCGCAGCCUGGGGUCUCCCCCAGCACCUGAGUCCUGCAGGGUGGGGUCGGGGCGUCCUGCACGUUGAAGUGGCUGUGGUCAUCCUUCCUGUCUUAGCGCUUCUCAGAGUCCGGAUGUGCAGGCUCGCGCCCGCCCUGCCUGCGGUCCCGCGGUGCUGGGCUUGCGCAGCUUCCUUCUCCAGGGACCAGGUCUGCUCUGCGUUACCUGGGCCCACGCACCGCGUCGGUCUCCGCCCCGGAGCUGCUGCAGGGGCCUCGCAGCGGGGCUGGUCCCUUGCGCGAGGCCGUGCUGCUCCAGGGUGCCUUGGCCAUGGUGUCCCCCUGCGUGUCCAGGUCCCCGUCUGGACCGCCCUGCCCGGGGGGCCCUGGGGACGUGCUGUUGUCUGCGUGGCCGUCGUGGGGUUGUGUCCCUCGGAAAGGUCUUUCCCUCGCCCGGAGGAUUGAAACGCUGCUGCCCUUCAGCAGAAGUCGGGCUUCGUGUUUGUAAACCUUGUCUCUCGGGAGUUUUCGUCGACGUAGGGGCGGCACUUGCCUGCUCCGAUCGCUCUUGCCGCCUCCGCUUGUCCCGGGGACCCCGUCCUGACUCUGCCUCUUCUGUCAGAACCCCCACCCCUGCCCCCGCCGCGUACGUGGCAUGUCCAUGGGCUGGGGGCCCGAGAGCACUGCUCCCCUUGGCCCGUGGGCACCUGGUGCUGGGUGCAGGGCCCUUUUCUAAACUUGGAUCUUGUCCUGACGGGAGGGCUGUUCUUUGGGUGGAAAGCAGGGACGUGAAGGGACGAGUGUCCCAGGGCGCGGCUGCCCACCGGGCACAGCAGCGGGAACGCCGCGUGGCCUUGGGACCGCAGGUCUGACGGGGCGUCCCUUGAGAGCGGAUACGCGAGGGGGCGACACCGGCCCCUGG